CCUACGGGUGGCAGCAGUGAGGAAUAUUGGUCAAUGGACGAGAGUCUGAACCAGCCAAGUAGCGUGAAGGAUGACUGCCCUAUGGGUUGUAAACUUCUUUUAUAAGGGAAUAAAAUGUUCCACGUGUGGGAUUUUGUAUGUACCAUAUGAAUAGGGAUCGGCUAACUCCGUGCCAGCAGCCGCGGUAAUACGGAGGAUCCGAGCGUUAUCCGGAUUUAUUGGGUUUAAAGGGAGCGUAGGUGGGUUGUUAAGUCAGUUGUGAAAGUUUGCGGCUCAACCGUAAAAUUGCAGUUGAUACUGGCAGUCGUGAGUACAGUAGAGGUGGGCGGAAUUCGUGGUGUAGCGGUGAAAUGCUUAGAUAUCACGAAGAACUCCGAUUGCGAAGGCAGCUCACUGGACUGCAACUGACACUGAGGCUCGAAAGUGUGGGUAUCAAACAGGAUUAGAUACCCGAGUAGUC
rnacentral:rRNA from 1 species